rnacentral:lncRNA from 1 species
CCCUCAUAAGGCAUCUGAAGGAGUCUACCUAGCCUAGGUGCACUCAAAAUAAUUUAGACUCCCUUCAUAGUAGACCUCAAAACUCCAUUAGAUAAGACUAAAUUUGAGUAAAAUUCUUUGACAAGAUCAAUAUACACAGGUUCAGAUAAACUGCAGAAAAAUCUCCAUCCUUGCUUAAUCAAUUUCUCUCCAAUAGAAAAACCAUCAUUCCUUAAAAAUCAAAAAUCUACA